UACGUAGGGGGCUAGCGUUGUCCGGAUUUAUUGGGCGUAAAGAGCGUGUAGGCGGCUAGGUAGGUCCGUUGUGAAAACUCGAGGCUCAACCUCGAGACGUCGAUGGAAACCAUCUAGCUAGAGUCCGGAAGAGGAGAGUGGAAUUCCUGGUGUAGCGGUGAAAUGCGCAGAUAUCAGGAAGAACACCCGUGGCGAAGGCGGCUACCUGGACAAUUGCUGACGCUCAGGCACGAAAGCGUGGGGAGCAAAAGGG
rnacentral:rRNA from 1 species